rnacentral:ncRNA from 2 species
UCACAAAAUGCUAUAAUCAGCGAUGUUAAGAAGUAUAAUAAUCCGGAAAAAGGUGAAAAGCCUUUACAGCCCCUUCGCUACUGUAAGAUCGAUCAGAUUGUCACCACUCACUGGGUAAAGGACAAUUCUGGGAUGAAAUCAAGUCAGGAGACGCUUAUUAUACUGAUUGCAA